CCUACGGGAGGCAGCAGUGAGGAAUAUUGGUCAAUGGCCGGAAGGCUGAACCAGCCACGCCGCGUGAAGGACGACGGUGCCAAGCAUUGUAAACUUCUUUUGUCAAGGGACAAAAUCAGGCUCGAGAGCCUGACAGCGGGUACUUGAAGAAAAAGCAUCGGCUAACUCGGUGCCAGCAGCCGCGGUAAUACGGGGGAUGCGAGCGUUAUCGGGUUUUAUUGGGUUAAAAGGGUGCGUAGGGGGGCUGUUAAGUCAGCGGUAAAAGCCCGGGGCUCAACCCCGGCGAGCCGUUGAAACUGGCUGUCGUGAGAGGUGGAGAGGUAGGCGGAAUGCGCAGUGUAGCGGUGAAAUGCUUAGAUAUUGCGAAGAACUCCGAUUGCGAAGGCAGCAUACCGGCGGCGAUCUGACGCUGAGGCACGAAAGCGUGGGUAUCGAACAGGAUUAGAUACCCUUGUAGUC
rnacentral:rRNA from 1 species